GCCCGAGUAGCUCAGUGGCUAGAGCAACCGCCUUGUAAGCGGUAGGUCGUGGGUUCGACCCCCACCUCGGGCU
rnacentral:tRNA from 1 species